rnacentral:lncRNA from 1 species
GGCCAUCGACCUUGGUGUGGCGGUCCUUGGUGGAGCGUUUUACUGGGUUUGUUGCUGCGAUUUGUUGUUGAUUGUUGUUUGUAGAGUCAAUUAGAGAAGUAGAUCUGGUAGCGAUGGCGAGGGAGGCAUCCACGAGGUGAGGAGUGGUGGUGGUGGUGAUGGAUGAGAUAGAAGCAGAAGUAGAGGAGGAAGAAGAGGAAGAUAGUGAAGAAGGAGAUGAUGAUGAAGAAGAAGAAGAAGAAGAAGAAGCAGAAGCGGAGGAUGGAGUAGGGAGUGGUUGUGAUCGGAUAGAGAUGGAGCCCAUAAAAGAGGGACCUGGUCCUGAUCUGCCAUCAAAAGGAAGGAGAAGAUGAGAGGA